UUUACUUUAUUACAACUACAAUUUUUCAGCCCUUUUCCAGAAUUUGAACUAAUUUGAUCAUAAAGAUUGAUCUAUUUAUAAUUUAUCGAUUACAAUUUUUAGACAAUUAAAGCUGGUUAAAGGAACUUUUAUUUUGGAAAAAGAACUGCUGCUGUUUCAAGACAUGCGCACUAGCUGCGACAUCUAGUGACGACAUUUACCGGGCUUUAACGGUUGUUGCUGCAUGAAGUCUGCUGCAAUUUCUCUGAGAUUUCUCAAGAUCAUCAGUUUGGACAGAAUUCAUUUGAAGAAUUAAUAGCACUAGCAGGUUCCAAUAAAGGCUGGAACAGAACAGACAGAAAAGAAUCUGUCAGAAGAAAUUCAAGUACUGUUCGUGCACCAGAUGGUGAAGUAGAAAAGUUCGUAAAAACUUCUGCAGCUUGCAUCUGACAGAGAUGCAAAAAGAAUAAGAAAGCGGGCCUGAAAACAAGCAAAUUCAAGUCUUUCCUUCUUUUAGGGUACACUUGAGGAGUGUCCAGAUGUUUAUUAAUGUUUUAUUAAUGUAAUGUUAUGUUUCAAAUAAACAUGUAAACAUACUGUAUAUUUUUCUUUUUUUUUAAACACCUACAGUAAAGUGUGACACUUAACACAUUAAAAGCAUCACAAACAUUGAGGAUAGAACUUCUAAUGUGCAGUUUAACUUUUUUUAACUAAAUAUAAUAAAAGUUUUUUUUA